rnacentral:rRNA from 1 species
UGCCUUACACAUGCAAGUCGAACGCGAAAGGGGGGCAACCCCCGAGUAGAGUGGCGCACGGGUGAGUAAUGCAUCGGAACGUGUCCUGUAGCGGGGGAUAACCUAGCGAAAGCUAGGCUAAUACCGCAUACGUCCUACGGGAGAAAGUGGGGGAUCGAAAGACCUCACGCUAUAGGAGCGGCCGAUGCCGGAUUAGCUAGUUGGUGGGGUAAAGGCCCACCAAGGCGACGAUCCGUAGCUGGUCUGAGAGGAUGAUCAGCCACACUGGGACUGAGACACGGCCCAGACUCCUACGGGAGGCAGCAGUGGGGAAUUUUGGACAAUGGGGGAAACCCUGAUCCAGCCAUGCCGCGUGAGUGAAGAAGGCCUUCGGGUUGUAAAGCUC